CCUACGGGAGGCAGCAGUGAGGAAUAUUGGUCAAUGGCCGUAAGGCUGAACCAGCCAUGUAGCGUGCGGGAAGACUGCUCUAUGGGUUGUAAACCUCUUUUGUGCUGGGAUAAAGCUGACCACGUGUGUUUGUUUGAAGGUACCGCAUGAAUAAGGACCGGCUAAUUCCGUGCCAGCAGCCGCGGUAAUACGGAAGAUCCGAGCGUUAUCCGGAUUUAUUGGGUUUAAAGGGAGCGUAGGCGGGUCUUUAAGCGUGCCGUGAAAUUUUGUGGCUCAACGAUGAGACUGCGUCUAGGACUGGAGACCUGGAGUGCGCGGAAGGUAGGCGGAAUGCGUGGUGUAGCGGUGAAAUGCUUAGAGAUCACACAGAACACCGAUUGCGAAGGCAGCCUGCC
rnacentral:rRNA from 1 species